rnacentral:lncRNA from 1 species
GGCGGCGACGGGCUGGCUCGGGGCAGCGGCGCCGGCGGCGGAGUCAAGAGGGGAGAGAGAGAGUCGAGAGAGACAGGGAGGAAGAACAAAACUAGGGCUUCUAGUUUUGGGGGGGUUAAUUUCUAAAUUUCCUAAAAAUUUUUUUUCUUUUUUUUCUCACUUUUAAUAUUCAAUUUUUGGUAUUUAGAUUUCUAAUUUAGAUAUUUAAUUUAGAUUUUAUAUAAGUGUUAAUAAAAUAAAAAAAUGUUAUGAAUUUUUUAUUU